AAAUCAAAGUGGUGGUUGAUGGUGAUUAUUUUGUGUUGCACAACCAUUUUAUGACUUUGGUUAAUGAAUUGUUUCUCAUCAUAAAAAACAACACGUAAGCAUAUAUUAUCCGACUUUAAAAAGUCCACUUCCGCUCCGAUACCGGUCCGAAUCCGUACCAUUUCUGACAUUAAAAAAUCCCUAUUCAUAUCCGAAUCCGCGUAAUAUCUGAUCCGCUCCGAAUCCAAUCAAGAAAAAAGGAUUAGGAUAUGGGAAAGCUAUUAUCUGCUCCGAUCUGAUCCGUUUUCAUCCCUAGGAACCAGUCUCCCGUUCCACCCUAUGCGCCCAACGAGUUAGUAACGAUUUUUUUAUUUCUAACCCUUUUUUUUAACUAUUUUCGAUUUUGACACUGAUUUUUUUAAACUAACCCCUUUGGCCGCCCUGGCGGCUGAGGUGGCGGCCCUACCGCACCAUGAGUCAUGGUGGAGCAGUGCCGCCUCCCAGAAUGCAAGAUCAGUGGGUUCCUUUGGGACUUAGAAUGCAAGAUCAGCAACUCCAAAAAAAGCUCUCUAUACCUUUACGUCUCUAAUAACUUCUCUAUAUAUUUUAUGCACACUCUUGAAAGCCAUCUUUGUUCUCUAUCUCUAGCUAGCGAGAAAUCUAGAACAAAGGAUAACUAUAUUUAGAGAUCUAAUAAAAUAAGUGGUUGGAGGAUAUUUAUGUCACUAAAGUAUCUAUUCCUAAUAAUUAAGAAUGGUACAAAUAGGUUCUUGGAUAUGCUUUUAUUAGUCUUGUCUCUUGAAUAAAUUGUAAGAGGGGAGAAGGUGGCA
rnacentral:lncRNA from 1 species